AUGUGAAGUUGUUGCAUUCAAAUCCUCAUUGAUAUUCAUGGCCACCGCUAAGAGAUCACGCCGUGCCUCGCCCAGGCGGUCCAGCGCCGGGGACAGGGGAGUCAGAACCGCAGCUGAGUGGACAGGCCAGGGGACAGGGGAUCAGAACCGCAGCUGAGUGGACAGGCCAGGGGACAGGGGAGUCAGAACCACAGCUGAGUGGACAGGCCGGGGACAGGGGAGUCAGAACCGCAGCUGAGUGGACAGGCCAGGGGACAGGGGAUCAGAACCACAGCUGAGUGGACAGGCCGGGGACAGGGGAGUCAGAACCGCAGCUGAGUGGACAGGCCAGGGGACAGGGGAGG